GGUGAUCCUAUCCGGCCGCUGCAUCCAUCUCCCUCUCGAGUCGAUCGAGUCUCCAUCGCGCCAUGACCUCCUGUGCCUCCAAGGGUGAGCUCUGGUUGGGGCCCCAAUGGUUUAACACAGACCUAUUAAUCCCACGAAUUAAAGAAGAACAAGUUGUAUGUGUACCUGAGCAGUGUGCACUUGGUCCCAAAAGGGCAAAAUGUCAACCAGAUCAGAAUUAGGAUGAGUACAAGUGUGGUGGAUACAACUGAUUAACCAAGUGUGGUACUCGUCUUAAUAAUUAAGCAAAAACGAAAAAAAAGCCCCACAAGUCCACAACCAAUAACCUCUGUUUUGUACAAGUAUCCGUCUUGUGUUAAUAAUUUUGUAAAUUUCAGACACUUAUCUCUUUCAAAA